rnacentral:lncRNA from 1 species
AAUCAUUCAAUCUCAUGGAAAGAUACUCUAGUUUAAGGAAAUAACUUAUCUCAAAGCUUCAUGGAAAAUACCAUAUCAAGGAAGAAUACUUUCGUUUAGAGAAACAACUCAUAUCAAGGAAAUGCUUUAGUUAGGGAACCAUUUUGCAACUUUACCAUUAGGAAAAUAGCUCAUAGGAAGGAAAAAUACUUUAGUUUUCA